CUGGCGGCGUGCCUAAUACAUGCAAGUAGAACGCUGAAGAGAGGAGCUUGCUCUUCUUGGAUGAGUUGCGAACGGGUGAGUAACGCGUAGGUAACCUGCCUUGUAGCGGGGGAUAACUAUUGGAAACGAUAGCUAAUACCGCAUAACAAUGGAUGACACAUGUCAUUUAUUUGAAAGGGGCAAAUGCUCCACUACAAGAUGGACCUGCGUUGUAUUAGCUAGUAGGUGAGGUAACGGCUCACCUAGGCGACGAUACAUAGCCGACCUGAGAGGGUGAUCGGCCACACUGGGACUGAGACACGGCCCAGACUCCUACGGGAGGCAGCAGUAGGGUAUCUUCGGCAAUGGGGGCAACCCUGACCGAGCAACGCCGCGUGAGUGAAGAAGGUUUUCGGAUCGUAAAGCUCUGUUGUAAGUCAAGAACGAGUGUGAGAGUGGAAAGUUCACACUGUGACGGUAGCUUACCAGAAAGGGACGGCUAACUACGUGCCAGCAGCCGCGGUAAUACGUAGGUCCCGAGCGUUGUCCGGAUUUAUUGGGCGUAAAGCGAGCGCAGGCGGUUUGAUAAGUCUGAAGUUAAAGGCUGUGGCUCAACCAUAGUUCGCUUUGGAAACUGUCAAACUUGAGUGCAGAAGGGGAGAGUGGAAUUCCAUGUGUAGUGGUGAAAUGCGUAGAUAUAUGGAGGAACACCGGUGGCGAAAGCGGCUCUCUGGUCUGUAACUGACGCUGAGGCUCGAAAGCGUGGGGAGCGAACAGGAUUAGAUACCCUGGUAGUCCACGCCGUAAACGAUGAGUGCUAGGUGUUGGAUCCUUUCCGGGAUUCAGUGCCGCAGCUAACGCAUUAAGCACUCCGCCUGGGGAGUACGACCGCAAGGUUGAAACUCAAAGGAAUUGACGGGGGCCCGCACAAGCGGUGGAGCAUGUGGUUUAAUUCGAAGCAACGCGAAGAACCUUACCAGGUCUUGACAUCCCGAUGCUAUUUCUAGAGAUAGAAAGUUACUUCGGUACAUCGGUGACAGGUGGUGCAUGGUUGUCGUCAGCUCGUGUCGUGAGAUGUUGGGUUAAGUCCCGCAACGAGCGCAACCCCUAUUGUUAGUUGCCAUCAUUCAGUUGGGCACUCUAGCGAGACUGCCGGUAAUAAACCGGAGGAAGGUGGGGAUGACGUCAAAUCAUCAUGCCCCUUAUGACCUGGGCUACACACGUGCUACAAUGGUUGGUACAACGAGUUGCGAGUCGGUGACGGCAAGCUAAUCUCUUAAAGCCAAUCUCAGUUCGGAUUGUAGGCUGCAACUCGCCUACAUGAAGUCGGAAUCGCUAGUAAUCGCGGAUCAGCACGCCGCGGUGAAUACGUUCCCGGGCCUUGUACACACCGCCCGUCACACCACGAGAGUUUGUAACACCCGAAGUCGGUGAGGUAACCUUUUGGAGCCAGCCGCCUAAGGUGGGAUAGAUGAUUGG
rnacentral:rRNA from 1 species